rnacentral:rRNA from 1 species
UACGUAGGGUGCAAGCGUUGUCCGGAAUUAUUGGGCGUAAAGAGCUCGUAGGCGGUCUGUCGCGUCUGCUGUGAAAACUCAGGGCUUAACCCUGAGCUUGCAGUGGGUACGGGGCAGACUAGAGUGCGGUAGGGGGAGACUGGAAUUCCUGGUGUAGCGGUGAAAUGCGCAGAUAUCAGGAGGAACACCGGUGGCGAAGGCGGGGUCUCUGGGCCGUAACUGACGCUGGAGGAGCGGAAAGCAUGGGGAGCGAACAGG